GUCGCGAGUCUUUUGCACCUAUAUUUUGGGGGUCGUGGGCUGAAAGGCCUGGGAACCCCUGCUUUAAAUCAGCUCUCAUGCAUCAUGUUAUGCUAUUAUUUGUACUUUAAUAUGUUCUGUUGGUUUUAGUUGUUUGUUUAAAUAAAGUUUUGAAAAAAAGGGCUGCUUGUCCCGGAAUGUGAUUGGCAGGUGCGCAUUGUUGACAGUCUAAUUGGGCGCAUGAGACUUAAUAAUUACACAUCACCGUGACAUUUAUGUUUUCAAUUUUAUUAAAAUGAACAUGUUGUUUGAAUAUACGCCACGUUACUUUUGUUAUUGAUAAGAACUCGUUUCCUAAAGAGGAUAAAGCCGGACCAUACCAUGGGGUACUUACCUUUGCAAAAGGCUAGUUGCUGCUACGAGGAUGCUAGCUUCUAAUUGAGGAGUAUGCCAGGACCAGGACGGAUAAAGAGGAGGAAAGCAGGACGGUUCAUGAGAGGACUGUCCGACCAAGCUGCAUUAACAAACUUCCAGACUUGGUCUUGGCGGAGGCUCAUCGAUGUGAUGGAGAGAAAAUUUGCUUCUGAAGCUGGAAACCGUGGCCGACUUCUGCGUACAAAUGUUUGUAUGUUGAAUGUGUCCUCAGAUUGCUCUCCAUGUCCCAACUCCCUCCUCAUCAACCCUUCAGUGUACUGUCAUUGGAGCACUCGAGGUUCCCGUCCACAGAGAGUGAACCUGCCUUCAUCCUCUGCUGGAGCUCAGUGAGCUGCUGAAGCCCAUUUUUCUGGUUCGGCACAAAGGUGUCAUAUAUGGAGGAGAUGCUGUCUUCUCGCUCACGUGCUGCAGUGGACAACAACUCAAUAAAAUCAUCCAAAGAAUGCAGAGUUAAGGAUCAAUCUCAGUAGAUGAUGAAGCCAUCAAUCUGCCACGUAAUGAGCCCAGCAGUAAUGGAAGGUUUUCCUUUUCAUGGUGGAUAAUGUGCAUCAUACAACAAGAACGCCAGCCAAACACAUGCUCAGAGGUGUUUCUCUGCACUGAAGUCCCUGAAAUCCUCCGCUGGGCAUUCCUUCUAAUAGCAUGGAGGACAACUUCUGAUCCAGCCUCUCCACAGACGACUCCUGAAAAGCCUGCAAUCCAGAUAAGAAGACAGAUUGCAAGCACACCAGAGGUUGAAAUGAUUUCUAAAGUAUCUUUUCAUUCCAGCGGGCAGGCUUCACUCUCACUGUCUGAUUCUCACCACUGAACUCAACCUCAGCGUUGUUGCCAGCCGCCUCAUUUUUCAAAAGAAUGAACACUUCCAUGGAGCUCUGCCAAGAAUUCAGCAAAGUGAACUGCAGUGUAAUCAAUGCUGUGGAUGCUUUACGGAAGAAAGAAAUGGCUUACUACUGACUAGAUGGGUGCCUCACCCCGCAUGAAACCCUGGAAGGAACCACCACAAUGCUGGAUCUGACACUGCGGGCUCCAGUCGGCUGCACUUGUUCUUUAUUUUGAUCUGAUCUCGAUGCUUUACGUGUCAGAGGGUUGGCAUUUGUUGCUGAUGUGGACACAUCUACAAAAGAGGGGACAUUGAUCAUCAAACUAGUUUCAGUACCAGUGUUUUAGAUACCACAAAUUAGCCCUCUGCUUCUUUAAGCCAUGCUGUAACACAGAUAUUCAUGUGCCCCUGAGGAUGUAUCCGACUGACUUUGUGGUUCCUCUGACUUUGAUUGGAAAACAAAAUAUCUCAACAGUUGAUACAAAAAUGUCAGUGCUAUCAGGUUCACACAUUCAAAUCAUUUGCCAUAUUUAAUAAAAUUGCUUAGUGAUUCCUUU